GUAUACAUUUGGUACAGGUGCUUGAGGGUGAGUUCAGCCUGGCAGACCACAACGUCAACUAUGCCUUAGGCACUAUAGCAUAGCCCACUGGCCCGAGAGUGGUAGUGGUCUCGUUGCUAGAGACCUCAACGAUCAAGGCUCAGAGGUGGUGACCGGUGGUAGCACUCUCCUUCACAACGUACCAGUACUGGGGUUCUAUCAGACACCCUCAGAGGGUGGUGGUCGUAUCGUUGUGUACGGGGACUCUAACUGUCUGGAUAGUGCCCACCUUAAAAGGGACUGUUUUUGGCUCCUCAACUCUCUACUCAAGUACGCAGCCACUCCCAAUGCACAGCCACCCUUCACUCCCAGUCAGAAGAUCAGAUUGCCUCCCCUUGGGCUGCCAAAGAGGAUGGAAGGUAAUCGUCUUCACCACUACUCAAGAGUACUCGAUCUAAAUGACCCCACCCACACUCGACCUUUGCCCUCUUGUCCACAAUUUAAAUAGGCCAUUCCGAAACCAUUAAAUUCGUCUAAUCUUGGGAAAAUAUUCCGUCCUAAAAAUCCAUUAUCGGCCACUGAAAAAGGCUCAAUCAGUCCAAACCGAAACUUAAAGUCUAUGGGACAUGUGAUUCCAUUUGAUGAGUACCAAGAUCGAUCUCCUAGUCUGGGAAUUGUGGGUGUGUCCCUCGUUGUGUUGUGGUACAUGUGUAGACGACAUCGAAAAAGACCCCGAAGUCGAAGAUCAUUAUUUGCAAUCAAAAUGUGAAUUUUCUGCAUGAGGAUUGAAUUUUUCUACCGACCGUCUGAUGUAAAGAUGCUAUGGGACAUUGAGGCUCUACUUCUGUAAGUGCUGACCAACUAACUAUAAUAUACUAUGAAUACAAGCUAGUAAUUAUUAUACAAUCAUGUGCAUGUAUUAUACGUACUUAAUUAACCAUUAUUUAUGAUGCUCAUAAUUA